rnacentral:lncRNA from 1 species
GGGCUCCCGCCCCCGGAGCCACUCCGCACCGCGGAUCCGGGGGCGCGCAGGAAGCGCCUGGCCGAGCCCUCCGCGGGCUUCGAGGAGUCGGGGACCCCCCGGGCCUUCCCCCUACUUGCCCGCGGCGCUUUGGGGCCGGUUCCCUACCUGCCGGGCUCUCUGCGGGAUUUGGAGGCUGCCUUUUUGGAGGCGAUGCGGGGCCUGUGGCCCGGCCGGAGCGCCCAGGGCUUGCCUGGGUGGCCAGGGGGCGACCCUGCUCGGCGUGGGGAGCUCGCCCAGAUUUCGGGUUUAUUUGGAGAGCGGCAUGUGGCGGGGUUACUCUGGCUAUGUUGUACGGUGGCGGAAAAAGGCAUUCCCAUAGAGAGCUGGCAAACGUUUCUGGAAUGAGGGAUUGCUCGAGCAUAGGGCUGUUGCUGGCGCGUAUUAUUUAUUCUCUUCUAUUUUCAGCCUUUGUGACCCGGUUUGUGCUCGUCUGUGUAAAAUCAUUUUUCAAGGAGAAAAAGAAAAUUGGCAAAAAAUGAGCCCUCGAAGGCAGGACGGCCGCGGGGCUGGCGGGUGUUGUGCGUGUCGCCCACUCCCAACCCUGCUUUUCCCUUCCAAUGAAAAUGAACAUUUUGGUGGGAGUUGGAAGCAGGGGAACAGAGGUCACUUUGUGUGCUGCUCUGCUUCCCAAGGAAACCGUGCUUGGUGGACUUCUCUUCCUGCCCUAGCCCUUUGCCUUCCAGAAGAGCCCGAAAGUGUCUCCCUUUCAUAAAACCGGCUACUGAGAGAUGUUCUGUUUCCCUAUCUCUCGGUUGAGAUUGUCUCUGGCGCCCUGGCACAAGCGCGCAGUGUCUGGGCUCGUAAGCGAGGGGAAAAACGAGGUGAUCGGGACUCGGGCUUUGAAUUUCGUGACCGGUGUGGAUGCCAACCGUGAGUUGCUGGAAGCGGGCGGGCAGAGCCCACUCGCACGCGUGAAGGGGACUUGGCUUUCCUGAGUGAACCGUCACCCCGCUCAUCCUCUGCCCGAGCGGCGGCCAGCCAGCAUCGCUCCCUCUAACCGGGAACCGGCACGUUGCCGAGCGGCGGGUGCCCCGGCCAGCAGGGCUACCGUCCCCGCGGGUGGCUCUGUAACACGCACACCCGCCCCCCACCCCCUCCUGGUCGCCCGCGGAGCCUGGGCUGGGCGGCGAUGCGGGGCGAUGCGGGCGGGGGGCUCCGGCGGUGGGCAGGAGGCUGCCCGGGCGGCGCGGCCCCAGGUGAUCUCCGCACCUCCUCCGCCUGUCUCAGCCCCGCUGGAAAGAUGAGGGGGGAAAAAAAAAAAGGGCUAUAUUUGUACAAACGCCGCGCUCCUCUCUCCGUGCUGGGAGGGCUCUUUGGAGAGAUCUUAGGAGCCUUUCCGAGGGGCUGAUAUAGAUAUAAGGACAUUUCUACAUCGCGUCACGUGACAUAAUUACCACUAGAAUCAAUCAAGAUGAAUUGCACGUCAGCACACGGUGGGGAUUUUUUCUUAGUUGAUCCUGUCCAAACCCUCUUGUGCAA